AUUGAACGCUAGCGGGAUGCUUUACACAUGCAAGUCGAACGGCAGCGCGGACUUCGGUCUGGCGGCGAGUGGCGAACGGGUGAGUAAUGUAUCGGAACGUGCCCAGUAGCGGGGGAUAACUACGCGAAAGCGUAGCUAAUACCGCAUACGCCCUACGGGGGAAAGCAGGGGAUCGUAAGACCUUGCACUAUUGGAGCGGCCGAUAUCGGAUUAGCUAGUUGGUGAGGUAACGGCUCACCAAGGCGACGAUCCGUAGCUGGUUUGAGAGGACGACCAGCCACACUGGGACUGAGACACGGCCCAGACGCCUACGGGAGGCAGCAGUGGGGAAUUUUGGACAAUGGGGGCAACCCUGAUCCAGCCACCCCGCGUGUGCGAUGAAGGCCUUCGGGUUGUAAAGCACUUUUGGCAGGAAAGAAACGUCGCGGGCUAAUACCCCGUGGAACUGACGGUACCUGCAGAAUAAGCACCGGCUAACUACGUG
rnacentral:rRNA from 1 species